rnacentral:lncRNA from 1 species
GUAAUGAACAACUUCAUCUAUUAAAAGUUGGCUACAUGGUAAAGCUGUGGCUUAUCAUCUUGCAGGAUCUGAAUUCCACAUGUCGUUUUUCUGGAAGGAUCCAGUCCUGGCCUAUUGAACCCCAUUCUUCAACCAUCUGCUUGACUUCAUCAUGGGGGUUGACCAGCCUGUGAUGGGCUCUAUAAGUGGUGCAGCCAGCUACAAUAUAUCCUUCAUGCAAUAUGGUGGCUUAACCAAACUAAUCAAACCUUUAUUAAAGAGACGGCUUACAUUAGUAACAGUAUUUCCCUCGCUCAGCAGGAAUCCACAAAUGAGUGCAAAAGUGCCAUUGAAAUCAAUUUUGUGGUUACAAAUAAAUUUUCAUGAAUAUGCAAAUACAGAAUCUGUGAAUAAUGA